UGGAGGAAAGUAGGGGAUCGAAAGACCUUAUGCUUUUGGAGCGGCCGAUGUCUGAUUAGCUAGUUGGUGGGGUAAUUGCCUACCAAGGCGACGAUCAGUAGUUGGUCUGAGAGGACGACCAGCCACACUGGGACUGAGACACGGCCCAGACUCCUACGGGAGGCAGCAGUGGGGAAUUUUGGACAAUGGGCGCAAGCCUGAUCCAGCAAUGCCGCGUGAGUGAAGAAGGCCUUCGGGUUGUAAAGCUCUUUCAGUUGAGAAGAAAAGAUUGUAACUAAUAAUUACAGUUCAUGACGGUAUCAACAGAAGAAGCACCGGCUAACUACGUGCCAGCAGCCGCGGUAAUACGUAGGGUGCAAGCGUUAAUCAGAAUUACUGGGCGUAAAGGGUGCGCAGGCGGUUCUGUAAGUCAGAUGUGAAAUCCCCGGGCUUAACCUGGGAACUGCGUUGAAACUACAAAGCUAG
rnacentral:rRNA from 1 species